rnacentral:rRNA from 1 species
AACGAACGCUGGCGGCAUGCCUAACACAUGCAAGUCGAACGGGAUCCGGACUUCGGUUCGGUGAGAGUGGCGGACGGGUGAGUAACGCGUGGGAACCUGCCCAGUGGUGGGGGAUAACUGCGGGAAACUGCGGCUAAUACCGCAUGAGCCCGAGAGGGGAAAGAUUUAUCGCCAUUGGAGGGGCCCGCGUUCGAUUAGGUAGUUGGUGGGGUAACGGCCCACCAAGCCGACGAUCGAUAGCUGGUCUGAGAGGAUGAUCAGCCACACUGGGACUGAGAUACGGCCCAGACUCCUACGGGAGGCAGCAGUGGGGAAUAUUGGACAAUGGGGGCAACCCUGAUCCAGCAAUGCCGCGUGAGUGAUGAAGGCCUUCGGGUUGUAAAGCUCUUUUGCCAGGGACGAUGAUGACGGUACCUGGAGAAUAAGCCCCGGCUAACUUCGUGUCAGCCGCCGCAGUAAGAC